rnacentral:rRNA from 1 species
UGGGGGAUAUUGCACAAUGGGCGAAAGCCUGAUGCAGCAACGCCGCGUGAGGGAAGACGGUUUUCGGAUUGUAAACCUCUUUCUUCGGUGAAGAAAAAAAUGACGGUAGCCGAUGAGGAAGCCACGGCUAACUACGUGCCAGCAGCCGCGGUAAUACGUAGGUGGCGAGCGUUGUCCGGAAUUACUGGGUGUAAAGGGAGCGCAGGCGGGGAGGCAAGUCAGCUGUGAAAGCUAUGGGCUUAACCCAGAAACUGCAGUUGAAACUG